AUUAUUGGGCGUAAGGGCUCGCAGGCGGUUUCUUAAGUCUGAUGUGAAAGCCCCCGGCUCAACCGGGGAGGGUCAUUGGAAACUGGGGAACUUGAGUGCAGAAGAGGAGAGUGGAAUUCCACGUGUAGCGGUGAAAUGCGUAGAGAUGUGGAGGAACACCAGUGGCGAAGGCGACUCUCUGGUCUGUAACUGACGCUGAGGAGCGAAAGCGUGGGGAGCGAACAGGAUUAGAUACCCUGGUAGUCCACGCCGUAAACGAUGAGUGCUAAGUGUUAGGGGGUUUCCGCCCCUUAGUGCUGCAGCUAACGCAUUAAGCACUCCGCCUGGGGAGUACGGUCGCAAGACUGAAACUCAAAGGAAUUGACGGGGGCCCGCACAAGCGGUGGAGCAUGUGGUUUAAUUCGAAGCAACGCGAAGAACCUUACCAGGUCUUGACAUCCUCUGACAAUCCUAGAGAUAGGACGUCCCCUUCGGGGGCAGAGUGACAGGUGGUGCAUGGUUGUCGUCAGCUCGUGUCGUGAGAUGUUGGGUUAAGUCCCGCAACGAGCGCAACCCUUGAUCUUAGUUGCCAGCAUUCAGUUGGGCACUCUAAGGUGACUGCCGGUGACAAACCGGAGGAAGGUGGGGAUGACGUCAAAUCAUCAUGCCCCUUAUGACCUGGGCUACACACGUGCUACAAUGGACAGAACAAAGGGCAGCGAAACCGCGAGGUUAAGCCAAUCCCACAAAUCUGUUCUCAGUUCGGAUCGCAGUCUGCAACUCGACUGCGUGAAGCUGGAAUCGCUAGUAAUCGCGGA
rnacentral:rRNA from 1 species